GAUGAACGCUGGCGGCGUGCCUAAUACAUGCAAGUCGAGCGAACAGACGAGGAGCUUGCUCCUUUGAUGUUAGCGGCGGACGGGUGAGUAACACGUAGGUAACCUACCUAUAAGACUGGGAUAACUUCGGGAAACCGGAGCUAAUACCGGAUAAUAUUUUGAACCGCAUGGUUCGAAAGUGAAAGAUGGCUUUGCUAUCACUUAUAGAUGGACCCGCGCCGUAUUAGCUAGUUGGUAAGGUAACGGCUUACCAAGGCAACGAUGCAUAGCCGACCUGAGAGGGUGAUCGGCCACACUGGAACUGAGACACGGUCCAGACUCCUACGGGAGGCAGCAGUAGGGAAUCUUCCGCAAUGGGCGAAAGCCUGACGGAGCAACGCCGCGUGAGUGAUGAAGGUCUUCGGAUCGUAAAACUCUGUUAUUAGGGAAGAACAUACGUGUAAGUAACUGUGCACGUCUUGACGGUACCUAAUCAGAAAGCCACGGCUAACUACGUG
rnacentral:rRNA from 1 species